AUGGUGCCUAUGCCUCAGUGCUGCAGUGUGGCUUCUCUGCUGGUUGCCUCUGAUGUUGUAGUUUCUAUGUGCUGCAGAUCAGUUGAGGAAAGUGGAAGCUCAUUGUCUGAACUGCAGGGACAAACUGAAACUGAACGACUUCUCAAUCCAGAUGCUGCAGGAAGUCUUGCCUGUGAAGAUGCAGCUGACAAGAGUCCUAAUUCAAGCCCUAAUCAGUGAUUUAUGGAUGCAAGAGGAAGAGGCUUUCCCUACCACUGAAGCUAGAGAGCAAGAUCAUGAGCAUCCAGAGUAAUAAUGGACUGAAAGGAAAAAUUGGAAAAGUGAAUUUCAGUCUUUGAUUUCAGAAACAUGAUGUAAUUAUCCACAGUGAUGCAUUAUAGUUUAACUUAAAAAUAUUUCUGUAUUUGUUUAGCUAUGGAAUGUGAAAAAAAAUGACAUCCAGGUGUUAUAUGUUAGUAUU
rnacentral:lncRNA from 1 species